rnacentral:rRNA from 1 species
GUAGGUGGCAAGCGUUGUCCGGAAUUAUUGGGGCGUAAAGCGCGCGCAGGCGGUUCUUUAAGUCUGAUGUGAAAGCCCACGGGCUCAACCGUGGAGGGUCAUUGGAAGCUGGAAAACUUGAGUACAGAAGAGGAAAGCGGAAUUCCACGUGUAGCGGUGAAAUGCGUAGAGAUGUGGAGGAACACCAGUGGCGAAGGCGGCUUUCUGGUCUGUAACUGACGCUGAGGCGCGAAAGCGUGGGGAGCAAACAGGAUUAGAUACCCUGGUAGUCCACGCCGUAAACGAUGAGUGCUAAGUGUUAGGGGGUUUCCGCCCCUUAGUGCUGCAGCUAACGCAUUAAGCACUCCGCCUGGGGAGUACGGCCGCAAAGGCUG